rnacentral:lncRNA from 1 species
GUGACAAAAAGUUGUCCAUACACUCGUAGAUCAAUACUGGACCAAAACCAUGAUUAUAUAUCUCAAAAUAGAAGUUGUUUACACACAUAUGAAACCAAAUCAUAAGAGAUAUUGGAAUUAUGGUCCAACCUAGAAACACUUUCAAAAUAUACCAACCCAUCCGGAUUACUACAAAUACAAGUUACUUCACACCCUACAGAGACCGAACUAAAAGCUCUUUGAUCUCUUAGAAACACAAGCUUUCAUAAUUUAAAACAUAAAAUAAAAAACAAACAACGACACAAAUUAAAGACUCUUUAAAUUAUGAGCAAAUUAAAGGUCUUAGAUGCUUCUUCCUGUUCACUUGAAUUCCAUGAUCAUGUUGUUCUCCGGAGCCAGCCCAACGCACGCCCUCAGAAUGUUCUCCAGCAUAGCCCGCUGUUUCGACAGCGCGUUAACCACCGGGGUUCCCGGCGGCACAAGCGGUGCCUUGGUGAGGUAGCUGAGUAUGGUGGCCACAGGAUGGAAAGAAUGAAACUUUCCCUGCCAAAAAAAUAAGAUUCAAAACAUCAAAGCCGCGAUUCAAUGAAAACAGAAAACCCAAAAUAACCAGUACUAUGAACUGGCGAACCUCUCCCUCAGAUUUGAACUGGAUCCUGGUGCUGAGCUCUGCGAGGAGAACAAGAUCCAAGAUGAUUGGAGCAGCUAAGAGAGAGUCCUCGCAGGUAUUGUGCAUCACAAUUGUGUUCUUCCCUCCCAUGAAGAUCUCUGAUGUGUACUCGUCCAUCGCUCGCUUACUAUCCGCAACAUAGGGUACAUACUGCAAAACAAACAAACAAUUUGGAUCAAUGGGUAUUAAAAUCUGCCAACGAAAAAAGGUCUUGAGUGUCUGUCUGGUUCUCUCUUUACCUUGAUGACAACAACAUGGUCCGGGUGUUCCCCAGGCUCAAAGAGGAUACCGUUGCUAGCAACCAUAUCGUCCACAACAUUGCUUUUCGAGAUCUCCUUAGAUCUGAAUGUCUGGGGAGCUGAGAGGUUCAUCCCAUCGUUGUUCCCCAAGUGAUUGUAGCUCACAAUUGAAGUAGGCUGCAAACAAAAACAAACAGUCAAUGAAACAAAAGUCUUUUGACAAAUAUCUUCACAAACAAGAAAGAGUUACUUGUUACACAAGUUAAACAAACCUUGAUUCCUGCACCAACAAGGAAAUCAACCAAGACAGAUUUCAUCUUGGUUUGACCACUCUUGAAAUCAUCUCCACCGAUCAAAACAUUGUUCCUGAUCGCCAUAUCAAUUAGACCUAAAACAAAUCCCCACAAAAUUCAGUCACAACAAUCUUGAUUCCCAAUUUCGAUUGAUCGACGAAUAAACUUUCAACUAUACGAAACCUGGAACAAAGGUGUUCUGAGGGCUUCCAUUGAUGAACGGGAUCCCCUCAAGAACACAAGCAAUCGCAUAAAGCGUUGAAGGAGAGAUCUCAGCCUCAUCCCUAUCCACAGACUCCAUGAGAUUCUCCAUUGUAUCGUUCAUCCCAACGACCACAUUGCUAUAACGCUCAGUGUUAGCCGUCCAGAGAACCACAACCUUAUCCACCUGAUUCUUCUCCUUAAACUCCCUAAGAUUCAACAUCACACACAUACAUAACAUCAAUAAACAGAGGAGAUUCGAUUCAACAAACAAGAAUAACUCUGUUUUAGUCACUAUUAUGAUUACCUCAUGUCCUUGAUGAUGUGGUCGACUUGUUCCUUCUUGGUACCUUUGAUCACGUGGUUAGCACGUGACCCUUGAUUAGCAGCGAUAAAAUCAGGAUCAUAGAUCCCAGGGAGUGGCACAAUGUUCU